AUGAAACCUCCCCGUCCUCCACCACCUCUACCUCGUCCACCGCUUGGUGCUGCAGAUGGUCCUUUACCACCACGCCCUCGUCCACCAGAUUUGUUGUCCUUGACAGCUGAAGCAUCAUCUUCACUUUCAUCAAGAGGAACACCCUUUCCGCUGGUCUUAGCUGCCCGUCCACCCCGCCCUCUUCCAGCAGAUUUGAGAUCAGAAUUUUUGUUCUUAAGAUCAUCAUCACUAUCAUCACUGAUCACAUUUUUCUGCGCGGAUCCCCUUCCAGAGCCACUUACCGACUUUUUGCUGGGAGUGACAUCUCUGGAUCCCAUUGCCGAUACCACUGGUACAAAGUCAUCUUCAUCCUCAGCUUUAUGAAUUCUUUUUGCAGCUGGUGCUGAUGAAAUUCCAGCAGCAUUUGGAGCUUUUCUUUUUGCUGACACUUCCUCAACUUUUUCUUCCUUUGCCUUAACCUUGUCUGUAGCAAAAUAUUUACUAGUUUUCCUUCUGUUGGCAGUCUCUUGUCCUUCUUGUACCAGGUUUUCUGGCUUUGGACUAGUGGGAGAAGGCUUUUCUGCUGCACUAUUCUUGGACAUGCUCCCAUUACCCGUGCCUUUGUCAUGCUGCUUCAUGAACCAUUUCCUGAUAUCUGACAUGUUUGUGAUCUGCAAUUAGCAAUAUCUCCUUCAAAAUUUCAAUUUAUCUUCAAGACUACCAACCAAUCGUAGUAGGUUUCCGACAAGUUAUGGAGUCACCGACGACGAGUUAACCGGCAGUUACAUUCAACGUCGCUCCGGUGAAGUAGGGUUUAGA
rnacentral:misc_RNA from 1 species